CGGGUUCUGNAUAAGCUAGUUGGUAGUGUAACGGACUACCAAGGCGAUGAUCAGUAGCCGGUUUGAGAGGUUGAACGGCCACAUUGGGAGUGAGACACGGCCCAAACUCAUACGGGAGGCAGCAGUGGGGAAUCUUCCGCAAUGGACGAAAGUCUGACGGAGCAACGCCGCGUGAGUGAUGAAGGAUUUCGGUCUGUAAAGCUCUGUUGUUUAUGACGAAGCGUGCAGUGUGUGAACAAUGCAUUGCAAAGACGGUAUAAUCGAGGAAGCCC
rnacentral:rRNA from 1 species